rnacentral:rRNA from 1 species
AGCGAAAGCUAGGUUGAUGCAGCAUCGACUAUGUCGACUAAAGUUCUAGGUAGAGUUAUGAUGAUGACAUUUUCUACCUAGUGUCUUGACCAAAUCACGUGCCAGCAGUCGCGGCAAGACGUGGGAGACUAGUGUUAUUCAUCUUUAAAAGGUUUAAAGGGUACUUAGACGGUAUAUUAAGCCCCGGUACUAAUAGACUAGAGUUUUAUGGGAGAGAGUGUAGAGAUGAAAUUCUUUGAUACUGGGAACAGGCAAAGGCGAAAGCGACUCUUUAUGUAGAAACUGACGUUGAAGGACGAAGGCUUAACAGGAUUAGAUACCCUAGUAGGCUGAGCAGAAAAUGAUGAAUGUCAUAGAUGAGUUUUUUGUUUAUAAAUGAAAGUGUAAACAUUCCACCUUGAGAGUAAUGUGGCAACGCAGAAACCGAAAUCAUUAGACCGUUUCUGAAACCAGUAGUGAAGUAUGUUGUUUAAUUUGAGAUUACGCAAAAAACCUUACCACUUUGAAUAUUUUAUUAUUAAUACGGGCGUUGCACGGCUGUCUUCAGUUAAUGUCGUGAGAUUUUGGUUAAUUCCUUUAAAUUAACGUAAACCCUUACUUUAUUUUAUAAAGUAGUU